rnacentral:tRNA from 1 species
AUUAGACUUCUAAAAGUUAGAGUUGGUCUCUUAAACCAAAUUAUAAUAGAGUAACGCCUAUUUCUAAUG